rnacentral:lncRNA from 1 species
AAAGAUAAAAGUAGUAUUUUGUUGUACCUGAUUUCAUUAAAUCGGGGACGGGUACAAGAUGACGUCGACGCUGACCGAUGAAGAGGAGACGGAGGUCGUCCAGCUGAGCAGAGGCGACUUCGCCUGAACCGAGAGAGAGAGAGAGGCUAGAGCUCGAUUCUUGAGCAGAGAACAGAUUUCAGCGGCGCGGCGACUUCCCGGCCAAGGAGGGACGCGGCCCUGUUCGAUGACGAACUGCCGAGACCUUCGCUACGACGAACGGUGACUCCGGAAGUCGGCUUGGGCGAGGCAGCGGCAGCCGACAGCGGCGGCGGUACCAAACGGCGACUGGAGUCAGCGGCAGCAGCCCCGGCGAGCUGGCCUCUGUCGGCAGCAGCUGUUCUGCCGUCUCUCGCCAACUCCAGAGCAGCAGCAACGGCAGCAAUUCCAGGAGAGGCAGCGGCUGCCGAGGCUCCAGCUGGCGACGGUGGCGGCAACUCCAGACGGCGGCGACUUCAGUGGACGAUUACAGGCGCAACAGCGGCGGCGGAUGUUGGACUUCGCCGGAGUCAGAGAUGGGGGGAAGAAAACCGAGCCGUGAGAGAGCGAGAGGCGGGUCUGGGUGGUAACUGAUGAGAGAAGGGAGGAGGACGAACGACUACUCGCCGGAUUUGUAGAACGCGGCGGCAACUGAAUGGCAGGAGAAGAAGGCCGAUCGGCGCCGGAUGCCGACUGUUUGGAGAGUAUAGAGAGA